UACGGAGGGAGCUAGCGUUGUUCGGAAUUACUGGGCGUAAAGCGCACGUAGGCGGCUUUGUAAGUUAGAGGUGAAAGCCCGGAGCUCAACUCCGGAAUUGCCUUUAAGACUGCAUCGCUAGAGUUGUGGAGAGGUAAGUGGAAUUCCGAGUGUAGAGGUGAAAUUCGUAGAUAUUCGGAAGAACACCAGUGGCGAAGGCGACUUACUGGACACAUGUUGACGCUGAGGUGCGAAAGCGUGGGGAGCAAACAGG
rnacentral:rRNA from 1 species